CUCGCCCCGGUACCGGAUCUCGUGAAUCCGCAACUCGCUCCGAUACCAACUGCUGUGGAUCCGGUAUCGAUUGUUGGGAUUCCGCAACGGAAGCGUCAAAUCGGGUUUUUUACCAUAAACCCGUCUCCUCAGCAAAAGCUGAUACAAUCAUAAAAGAGAAAAAUAUGCUGGUAAAAUAAGAUUCAUUAAAUAAGAGAAGAUUACACCUGACUCCUCUUCUGCACAGAGUAGUUACAACCCGAGUCCUCUUUCUUGAAUCUCUCCUACCCUUCUCUCGUCUUCUAUAAUUCCACAAAGAAGACAAUCAUCCACGCGCGCCCGUGCACUAGGUGCACUCAACACAUUGGAUAACUCUCUCUCUCUCUCUUUUUCUCUCUCUCGGGUACGGCACCACACAAGCUCCUGCCGUACACCCUCACAGCUUCUCACAAAGAGCUAUUUAUAAGGCUCUACUAAAACGUACCCCAAUCCUAAUAUAUUUAGGAUUUCUACUCCAAUUAAUAUCUAAAUCUAUCUUAAUUAAUCUCUAAUAGAUUUAAAUAUUAAUCCUAAUCUAGUUAGGUUUAUCCUCUAAUUAAUAUUUAAAUCUUAAUUUAUCUCAAACAGAUUUAAAUAUUAAUUCUUAUCCAAAUAGGAUUUAACUACAAAUCUAAUCAAAUCCUAACAUUCUCCACCUUGGUUUGAUUUGUAAUUUUCAACCGUCACGUCGAGCUCACCAUGCAAGCUCCACCUUGAGCUUGUCUCCUCCGCUCGAUGUCGCCGCAUCCGCCGCUCCGCCUCGAGCGACUGCACCUCCGCGAACUUUUGGAACCCAAACCGUUUUCGCUCUCGUUCUGACUGUGCUUCCGUUCAGAACGUAUAAGUUCCCACGCUUGUUCGCCUCGCACACGACCCGAUCUCGUUUUCGGACCCUCAUAGCUCCACCUGAAGCCGAAAUAUCGCAACCCUUCGAGUCCAAUGCGCCUAACGAGAUCAAAUUCCGCUUCAAUCCAGGAACGUGCCGCACACCUGUCAGCGUCCUCACGACCCCAUCGUGCAUUCGGAUCUUUACCGUGCCGACUCCCAAUACCUUGCACGCUGUCCCGUUCCCCAUCAGCGCCUUUUCACCUUUGAUCGCCUUAUAGGUGGCAAAAGACUCCUUCUCUGGGCAUACGUGAAAAGAACACGCCUAAUCGAGCACCCACGCAUCGUCCGAAAUUUUCGCACCUCCGGUUGCCGCAUACAACACAUCAGAAUCGAUCAUCUCCGACUCUGCUGUCUGCGUCGUCGCUGAUACCGUCUCGUCCUGGUUCACGACAGUUUGCUCCUUCUGUCGCUUUAACUCCUUCAGAUCAUUCUGAAGUUUUUGACAGUUGCGCUUUAUAUGCCCUUUCCUGUGACAGUAAAAGCACUCCACCUCAGAUAGCGGCUUCUUCUGUCGAUCUCCGGUCGCUAAUGUUGUCGCCUUCUUCUUCGCUCUAACCACCAAAGCUGUAUCCCGGUUCUAUGUGCCGGACUCUUGAGUCAUCUUCCGUAUCUCGUUCGAGAGAAGCGCCGCCGUGACUGCCCCCACGCUUAUGGUCUCUUUGCCAUAAAGCAACGUGGUCACCAGAUGCUCAUAUAUCGCCGGUAGCGAAGAUAGUAAAAUCAGCGCCUUAUCUUCAUCAUCCAGAUUGACUCCGAUGCUAGUCAACUGGGCUACCACCUUGUUGAACUCAUUUAGAUGAUUAUGUAGGCUCGCCGCUUCUUGCAUCCGCAACGUAAACAGUCGCUGCUUCAAAUACAAUCUGUUCGUCAGGGAUUUGGUCAUGUACAGAUCUUCCAAUUUCUUCCACAAUUUCGCCGGUGUCGUCUCGCCGACUACAUUGUAAAGAACCUCAUCUGCUAAUGAUAGAUGAAGCGUACUCAGCGCCUUCCGCUCCAUCUUCGUCCAUGCCGCAUCCGUGACCUCUGCCGGCUUCGCCUCCUUCUCGUUCAACGUCUCGUCUAACUCUUGCUGUACGAGGAUUGCUCGUACUUUAAUUUGCCAUAAUCCGAAAUUGUUCUUGUCGUCGAACUUCUCGAUUUCGAAUUUCGUGGCCAUCUCCGUCGAUCUCUCCCGCAGAUCGGUAACCUUUGGCUCUGAUACCACUUGUUGGGAAUCCGGUACUCGCCCCGGUACUGGAUCUCGUGAAUCCGCAACUCGCUCCGAUACCGACUGCUGUGGAUCCGGUAUCGAUUGUUGGGAUUCCGCAACGGAAGCGUCAAAUCGGGUUUUUUACCAUAAACCCGUGUCCUCAGCAAAAGCUGAUACAAUCAUAAAAGAGAAAAAUAUGUAGGUAAAAUAAGAUUCAUUAAAUAAGAGAAGAUUACACCUGACUCCUCUUCUGCACAGAGUAGCUACAACCCGAGCCCUCUUUCUUGAAUCUCUCCUACCCUUCUCUCGUCUUCUAUAAUUCCACAAAGAAGACAAUCAUCCACGCGCACCCGUGCACUAGGUGCACUCAACACAUUGGAUAACUCUCUCUCUCUCUCUUUUUCUCUCUCUCGGGUACGGCACCACACAAGCUCCUGCCGUACACCCUCACAGCUUCUCACAAAGAGCUAUUUAUAAGACUCCACUAAAACGUACCCUAAUCCUAAUAUAUUUAGGAUUUCUACUCCAAUUAAUAUCUAAAUCUAUCUUAAUUAAUCUCUAAUAGAUUUAAAUAUUAAUCCUAAUCUAGUUAGGUUUAUCCUCUAAUAUUUAAAUCUUAAUUUAUCUCAAACAGAUUUAAAUAUUAAUUCUUAUCCAAAUAGGAUUUAACUACAAAUCUAACCAAAUCCUAACAAC
rnacentral:lncRNA from 1 species